UAGAAGAUUUUGUUGAUGAUGGGGUUCUCAAGGAAUUGCUUCCAAAGUUAUUAGAAGGCUGGGAUGACGUUCCGACUUUAAAGAUCAUGAAUUCAGAGGAUAUGAUGCAAUCAACAUGACACAAUAUCAAAAGGAUGCUCUGGAAAUCAGAAAGUACCUUCAUGAUCGUUCUUUGAUUCAAUAUGGAGAUCAGCUAGAGGCCUCGAGGAAAUCACUACCGGAGCUCCUUAACUUGAGCACCAAGAAACUAUCUUCACAAUUUGGCAUGAAAUGGGGGCAUAUUGCACGUUUCACAGAUCGAACUGAUGCAUGCACAGAUCCUCUACUGAAAUCUUACGGCCUUGGCGCGAGGAAAGACAUGGGCACACCAACUAGAAAUAACACCAUUCAUAAGGUUCAAUCCAUAGCAAAAUCCUUGGCAGGAGUAGCUCUGUAGGUCGCCGGAAGAGUCACUUGCUGGUUUGAAGAUUAAAGAUGGAUACAUCUUUAAAGGGGUUGUUGCUGCGAGACCAGCCGAGGCUCGAGUCUGCAGUUGUGUACAAUCUCCUCCGGUGGUCGACAGCCUGGCACCUUAUGCUGCUAUUGAAAACAUAUCGGUUCAGAGAUUAACUCCUGUUUAUAAGAUUGGGAUGGAGCCCUUGGUGAAAUCCAUGACUCCGCCUAUGAAAGUUUCGGAACUGUGGUGGGAUAAGCCAGCUGUUCUCCUAUGCAUUCGACGACCGGGAGCUGAAGCUCGCCAGCUCUAUGCCAAAAAGCCAAUAUUUGAUGCACUGGCAAUCCAAAUGUUUGCAGUUCUUCAUGAACAUAUAGAAUCAGAGGUGAUUUGUAUACUUUUAAUUCAAAACAUUUUCUCGAAUGAACUUCCUUCUUCCUCGGAUAUCGACCUUCCAUGCAGGUAAAAGACAAAAGGCCACGCUAUUAGGGCGGUGUUGUGACAUUGGAUCGUACAAUAGGAUUCUUCAAAGCUCUUGGAGGUGGGAAACUACUUAAAGACAAGUUUCUAUCAGGAUUUUUGUUCAAUCCCCAGGCUAUUGCAAACUCUAAACGUGCAAAAGCUCUGGGAAUAAACCAGAAUUUUAAAGGAGAAGGUGAAAUUAAGGGUGGCCUUUUCAUAGUUGGUCAAGGAGGAACUGGAAUUGCUUACCAGUUUAUAGAGAAGAAUUUUGGAGAUGGGCUCCUGUACCUUAAGUUCUAGAGAUAUGUGCUAGAUUACAGAAUCAUCAGCAAGAUGAAGGCAAAUCACCACAAGAAUACAAGUGAUGUGGCUUCUCAUAGUUCUUAAUUAUCCGCUUACAGAUUCAUCAUACAGCAUCACAGUUUUUACUGGCGAGUAAUAAAUUACCAAAAAAAAAAUAUUCUGCAUUUCCCACAUGUCAGCUUUACCCUACGGUCAAACAUCUAGAAUAAAGUUCCUACCCGAACCGGGAGACUACCUGUAUUAAUUAUAUUAUAUUCAUUGUUGGUGGCCUUGACUGUCGGACGUUAUUCCAUUGGGCCAUUAUUAUUAUUAUCAUCUUCAUUGUCAUAAAAUAGAAUCAUUCAAUAAAUUUACAUCUCAUAUCUUUGGGAGUAUCAGAUUUGUAUGUCAAAUUCAAUGUGAAAUUCAAAUGAAGACAAGACGGGUAAAGGA